rnacentral:rRNA from 1 species
UACGUAGGCAGCGAGCGUUGUUCGGAGUUACUGGGCGUAAAGAGUAUGUAGGCGGUUGCGUAAGUUUGGUGUGAAAUCUCCCGGCUUAACUGGGAGGUGCGCCGAAAACUGCGGAGCUAGAGUGUGGGAGAGGAAAGCGGAAUUCCUGGUGUAGCGGUGAAAUGCGCAGAUAUCAGGAAGAACACCUAUGGCGAAGGCAGCUCUCUGGGACGGUACUGACGGCUGAGACGCGAAAGCGUGGGGAGCGAACAGG